CAAGGGCAUAAUGAGUGAUGGCCCAGGAGAGUUAAGUAUGUGUUGCAUACUUGACUUUGUAUCCCCUGGCACUCUUGCCGGCUAAAUGAUCAAUAAAGCUUGUGUUGGUUUAUCUAA